rnacentral:rRNA from 1 species
GACGAACGCUGGCAGCGUGCCUAACACAUGCAAGUCGAACGGAAAGGCCCUUCGGGGUACUCGAGUGGCGAACGGGUGAGUAACACGUGGGUGAUCUGCCCUGCACUUUGGGAUGAGCCUGGGAAACUGGGUCUAAUACCGAAUAUGACCAUGCACUUCCUGGUGUGUGGUGGAAAGCUUUUGCGGUGUGGGAUGGGCCC